rnacentral:misc_RNA from 1 species
AAGUCGUAACAAGGUAACCGUAGGUGAACCUGCGGUUGGAUCAUUACCAAAGAUAUAAAAGAGCAGCUCCUAAUAUAUGAAUUUUUGUGUAUUAGGGGUUGUCUUCUUUUUUACACCUUUUGUGAACUUAAAAUCGUGUUUUUGUGUUAUUUGGCAGUUUGGCGAAACUGUAAUAAGCCGCUGUUUCUGUUUAAGGGAAGCAUGGGCUGCCAAAAAACAAAAUAUAUUAUAACUUUUUAUAUUUAUUUUCUUUUUAAAACUUUUUUUUAAUGUUUUUUUUUCCUUUUGGGAAAAAUUUACCUAUAAAAAAAUAAUUAAAAAACAACUUUUGACAACGGAUCUCUUGGCUCUU